UACGAAGGGGGCUAGCGUUGUUCGGAAUUACUGGGCGUAAAGGGCGCGUAGGCGGUGUGUCAAGUCAGGCGUGAAAGCCCCGGGCUCAACCUGGGAACAGCGCUUGAGACUGGCACGCUCGAGUUCGGGAGAGGAUGGUGGAAUUCCCAGUGUAGAGGUGAAAUUCGUAGAUAUUGGGAAGAACACCGAUGGCGAAGGCAGCCAUCUGGACCGACACUGACGCUGAGGCGCGAAAGCGUGGGAGCAACAGG
rnacentral:rRNA from 1 species